rnacentral:rRNA from 1 species
UCGUCCCUACGGGGGGCAGCAGUGGGGGAUAUUGCUCAAUGGGGGAAACCCUGAAGCAGCAACGCCGCGUGGAGGAUGAAGGUUUUCGGAUUGUAAAACUCUGUUCUUGGUGAAGAUAAUGACGGUAGCCAAGGAGAAAGCUCCGGCUAACUACGUGCCAGCAGCCGCGGUAAUACGUAGGGAGCGAGCGUUGUCCGGAUUUACUGGGUGUAAAGGGUGCGCAGGCGGCUCUGCAAGUCAGGCGUGAAAGCUAGGGGCUCAACCCCUAAACUGCGCUUGAAACUGUGGAGCUUGAGUGAAGUAGG